ACACUUUACUUGAGUGACUCACUCCUCUUUACUGUUCUCCUAACUGCCUCAUUAUCUUCCGGCUAGCCCUGAGCACGAGGAAUAUUUCCUUUCUCCUGGUGUUAUAGCAAUCCUAAUCAAACUGGGACUAAAAAGUCUAGAGGAAGAUGUGAAGAAGACCACUGUGAAGCUUGAAAGCUUGUCUCCUCCAAUAACAAUCAAGGAUAUUAUCUUACCCACCUUGUCUUUGAGCCUUGCUUGAAUAGUCUUUUAUCUGCAGAACCCCCUGGCCAUCAGUGUGGGGAAACAUUCAAAGAGGAAGCACCGUUUAGCUGGAGUAAUCAUCAUCGUCAUCAUGAAGUGCUUAUCAGAAAGGAAGACAAAAUGCAAUUAGGGUAGAUUUACAAUUGGACCAAUAAUUACUAUUCAGAUGUCUCAGCUGUAUGGAAAAUACAUGAUUCUGAACCAUGA